CGGACCGGUGCCAGAAACACUGCCUCAGCAUUUAUACGUAUGUGCAUUUCAAACGAGGGUCCGUACAAUGCUGGAUUUGUUUAACGGCUCCUGUUGGAAAAAAAGGAUCUAUUCCUAAAGUCCGUCAUCCACUCACUGAAGAGGGCAAAUCCCAGUUGCCCACAUGCAAGGAGGCUGUCAAACAGAGAAAUCACUGCAGACUGUUGGUACACAGACAUCUGCUGCCCAGCUCAGGAGUAAAGGUGAUGGUGAGGACAGCCACAGCUUCCAUCUGGUAGAGGACUGCUUCCGCUCAGUCUUCCAAAUAGUGAUGAGAACAAGGAUCACCACAUCUCCCUGUUUACCCUACUUUCAUGCAUUUCGUCUGCAAGGCCCUGCAAAAGCUUCUCCUUCGUCCUCAAACCCCCAGACUUCUUAAUUAACUCAGUAACCUAUACAUUGCACAUUGGAGUGUGAAGGUAACAGUUUGUUCUAGCUUUGGAGUAGUGGUGUAUUUUUUUGGUUUACAAUAAAGUUGGCUUUAACUAUUA